AUUGAACGCUGGCGGCAGGCCUAACACAUGCAAGUCGAGCGAGCGGCGGACGGGUGAGUAAUGUCUGGGAACCUGCCUGUUGGAGGGGGAUAACUACUGGAAACGGUAGCUACUCACGCAUACCCUUAGAUGUGCCCAGAUGGGAUUAGCUAGUGGGUGGGGUAACGGCUCACCUAGGCGACGAUCCCUAGCUGGUCUGAGAGGAUGACCAGCCACACUGGAACUGAGACACGGUCCAGACUCCUACGGGAGGCAGCAGUGGGGAAUAUUGCACAAUGGGCGCAAGCCUGAUGCAGCCAUGCCGCGGGUGUGAAGAAGGCCUUCGGGUUGUAAAGCACUUUAAGCGGGGAGGCGUUACCCGCAGAAGAAGCACCGGCUAACUCCGUGCCAGCAGCCGCGGUAAUAC
rnacentral:rRNA from 1 species